rnacentral:rRNA from 1 species
UUAAGUUAUUAAGGGCGCACGGUGGAUGCCUUGGCACUAGAAGCCGAUGAAGGACGUUACUAACGACGAUAUGCUUUGGGGAGCUGUAAGUAAGCUUUGAUCCAGAGAUUUCCGAAUGGGGAAACCCAGCAUGAGUUAUGUCAUGUUAUCGAUAUGUGAAUACAUAGCAUAUCAGAAGGCACACCCGGAGAACUGAAACAUCUUAGUACCCGGAGGAAGAGAAAGAAAAUUCGAUUCCCUUAGUAGCGGCGAGCGAAACGGGAAGAGCCCAAACCAACAAGCUUGCUUGUUGGGGUUGUAGGACACUCUGUACGGAGUUACAAAGGACGACAUUAGACGAAUCAUCUGGAAAGAUGAAUCAAAGAAGGUAAUAAUCCUGUAGUCGAAAAUGUUGUCUCUCUUGAGUGGAUCCUGAGUACGACGGAGCACGUGAAAUUCCGUCGGAAUCUGGGAGGACCAUCUCCUAAGGCUAAAUACUCUCUAGUGACCGAUAGUGAACCAGUACCGUGAGGGAAAGGUGAAAAGCACCCCGGAAGGGGAGUGAAAUAGAACCUGAAACCGUGUGCUUACAAGUAGUCAGAGCCCGUUAAUGGGUGAUGGCGUGCCUUUUGUAGAAUGAACCGGCGAGUUACGAUUUGAUGCAAGGUUAAGCAGUAAAUGUGGAGCCGUAGCGAAAGCGAGUCUGAAUAGGGCGUUUAGUAUUUGGUCGUAGACCCGAAACCAGGUGAUCUACCCUUGGUCAGGUUGAAGUUCAGGUAACACUGAAUGGAGGACCGAACCGACUUACGUUGAAAAGUGAGCGGAUGAACUGAGGGUAGCGGAGAAAUUCCAAUCGAACCUGGAGAUAGCUGGUUCUCUCCGAAAUAGCUUUAGGGCUAGCCUCAAGUGAUGAUUAUUGGAGGUAGAGCACUGUUUGGACGAGGGGCCCCUCUCGGGUUACCGAAUUCAGACAAACUCCGAAUGCCAAUUAAUUUAACUUGGGAGUCAGAACAUGGGUGAUAAGGUCCGUGUUCGAAAGGGAAACAGCCCAGACCACCAGCUAAGGUCCCAAAAUAUAUGUUAAGUGGAAAAGGAUGUGGCGUUGCCCAGACAACUAGGAUGUUGGCUUAGAAGCAGCCAUCAUUUAAAGAGUGCGUAAUAGCUCACUAGUCGAGUGACACUGCGCCGAAAAUGUACCGGGGCUAAACAUAUUACCGAAGCUGUGGAUUGUCCUUUGGACAAUGGUAGGAGAGCGUUCUAAGGGCGUUGAAGCAUGAUCGUAAGGACAUGUGGAGCGCUUAGAAGUGAGAAUGCCGGUGUGAGUAGCGAAAGACGGGUGAGAAUCCCGUCCACCGAUUGACUAAGGUUUCCAGAGGAAGGCUCGUCCGCUCUGGGUUAGUCGGGUCCUAAGCUGAGGCCGACAGGCGUAGGCGAUGGAUAACAGGUUGAUAUUCCUGUACCACCUAUAAUCGUUUUAAUCGAUGGGGGGACGCAGUAGGAUAGGCGAAGCGUGCGAUUGGAUUGCACGUCUAAGCAGUAAGGCUGAGUAUUAGGCAAAUCCGGUACUCGUUAAGGCUGAGCUGUGAUGGGGAGAAGACAUUGNNNNGUCUUCGAGUCGUUGAUUUCACACUGCCGAGAAAAGCCUCUAGAUAGAAAAUAGGUGCCCGUACCGCAAACCGACACAGGUAGUCAAGAUGAGAAUUCUAAGGUGAGCGAGCGAACUCUCGUUAAGGAACUCGGCAAAAUGACCCCGUAACUUCGGGAGAAGGGGUGCUCUUUAGGGUUAACGCCCAGAAGAGCCGCAGUGAAUAGGCCCAAGCGACUGUUUAUCAAAAACACAGGUCUCUGCUAAACCGUAAGGUGAUGUAUAGGGGCUGACGCCUGCCCGGUGCUGGAAGGUUAAGAGGAGUGGUUAGCUUCUGCGAAGCUACGAAUCGAAGCCCCAGUAAACGGCGGCCGUAACUAUAACGGUCCUAAGGUAGCGAAAUUCCUUGUCGGGUAAGUUCCGACCCGCACGAAAGGCGUAACGAUUUGGGCACUGUCUCAACGAGAGACUCGGUGAAAUCAUAGUACCUGUGAAGAUGCAGGUUACCCGCGACAGGACGGAAAGACCCCGUGGAGCUUUACUGUAGCCUGAUAUUGAAAUUCGGCACAGCUUGUACAGGAUAGGUAGGAGCCUUUGAAACGUGAGCGCUAGCUUACGUGGAGGCGCUGGUGGGAUACUACCCUAGCUGUGUUGGCUUUCUAACCCGCACCACUUAUCGUGGUGGGAGACAGUGUCAGGCGGGCAGUUUGACUGGGGCGGUCGCCUCCUAAAAGGUAACGGAGGCGCUCAAAGGUUCCCUCAGAAUGGUUGGAAAUCAUUCAUAGAGUGUAAAGGCAUAAGGGAGCUUGACUGCGAGACCUACAAGUCGAGCAGGGUCGAAAGACGGACUUAGUGAUCCGGUGGUUCCGCAUGGAAGGGCCAUCGCUCAACGGAUAAAAGCUACCCCGGGGAUAACAGGCUUAUCUCCCCCAAGAGUUCACAUCGACGGGGAGGUUUGGCACCUCGAUGUCGGCUCAUCGCAUCCUGGGGCUGUAGUCGGUCCCAAGGGUUGGGCUGUUCGCCCAUUAAAGCGGUACGCGAGCUGGGUUCAGAACGUCGUGAGACAGUUCGGUCCCUAUCCGUCGUGGGCGUAGGAAAUUUGAGAGGAGCUGUCCUUAGUACGAGAGGACCGGGAUGGACAUACCUCUGGUGUACCAGUUGUCGUGCCAACGGCAUAGCUGGGUAGCUAUGUGUGGACGGGAUAAGUGCUGAAAGCAUCUAAGCAUGAAGCCCCCCUCAAGAUGAGAUUUCCCAACUUCGGUUAUAAGAUCCCUCAAAGAUGAUGAGGUUAAUAGGUUCGAGGUGGAAGCAUGGUGACAUGUGGAGCUGACGAAUACUAAUCGAUCGAAGACUUAAUCAA